rnacentral:rRNA from 1 species
GCGGACGGGUGAGUACGCGUAGGAAUCUACCAGUAGUGGGGGACACAGNGGAAACGGCUGCUAAUACCGCAUAUGCCUCCGGGGUAAAGCAGGGGACCUUUCGGGCCUUGUGCUAUUGGAUGAGCCUGCGUCGGAUUAGCUAGUUGGUGGGGUAAAGGCCUACCAAGGCGACGAUCCGUAGCUGGUCUGAGAGGAUGAUCAGCCACACUGGAACUGAGACACGGUCCAGACUCCUACGGGAGGCAGCAGUGGGGAAUAUUGCGCAAUGGGGGCAACCCUGACGCAGCCAUGCCGCGUGUGUGAAGAAGGCUCUAGGGUUGUAAAGCACUUUCAAUAGGGAGGAAAAGUUGUACGUUAAUAACGUGCAGCCGUGACGUUACCUAUAGAAGAAGCACCGGCUAACUCCGUGCCAGCAGCCGCGGUAAUACGGAGGGUGCGAGCGUUAAUCGGAAUUACUGGGCGUAAAGCGCGCGUAGGCGGCUUGGUCAGUUGGGUGUGAAAUCCCCGGGCUUAACCUGGGAACUGCAUUCAAUACUGCCAGGCUAGAGUACGAGAGAGGGGGGUAGAAUUUCUAGUGUAGCGGUGAAAUGCGUAGAUAUUAGAAGGAAUACCAGUGGCGAAGGCGGCCCCCUGGCUUGAUACUGACGCUGAGGUGCGAAAGCGUGGGGAGCGAACAGGAUUAGAUACCCUGGUAGUCCACGCCGUAAACGAUG